AGCGAACGCUGGCGGCGUGCUUAACACAUGCAAGUCGAGUGCGCGCCUGUAGCAAUACAGGUGGCGCACGGCGCACGGGUGCGUAACACGUGGGUAAUCUGCCCUUCGAUGGGGAAUAGCCUCGCGAAAGCGAGGCUAAUUCCGCAUAACAUUCCGAUGGUUCCGAUCAAUGGACUCAAAGCCGUAAGGCGUCGGAGGAGGAGCCCGCGCACGAUUAGCAGUUGGUGAGGUAACGGCUCACCAAGGCUUUGAUCGUUAGCUGGUCUGAGAGGAUGGCCAGCCACACUGGGAACUGAGACACGGUCCAGACUCCUACGGGAGGCAGCAGUGGGGAAUCUUGCACAAUGGG
rnacentral:rRNA from 1 species